rnacentral:tRNA from 1 species
UCCCCAGUGGCGCAAUUGGUUAGCGCGCGGUACCUAUAAUGCCGAGGUUGUGAUUUCGAUCCUCACCUGGGGAA